rnacentral:rRNA from 1 species
CACGUAGUUAGCCGGUGCUUCUUCUGCAGGUACCGUCACCCGAAAGCUUCUUCCCUGCUGAAAGAGGUUUACAACCCGAAGGCCGUCAUCCCUCACGCGGCGUCGCUGCAUCAGGCUUUCGCCCAUUGUGCAAUAUUCCCCACUGCUGCCUCCCGUAGGAGUCUGGGCCGUGUCUCAGUCCCAGUGUGGCCGGUCGCCCUCUCAGGCCGGCUACCCGUCGUCGCCUUGGUAGGCCUCUACCCCACCAACUAGCUGAUAGGCCGCGGGCUCAUCCUGCACCGCCGGAGCUUUACACACAGGAACAUGCAUCCCCGUGUCAUAUCCGGUAUUAGACCCCGGUUUCCAGGGCUUGUCCCAGAGUGCAGGGCAGAUUGCCCACGUGUUACUCACCCGUUCGCCACUAAUCCCCGGCCGAAACCGGUUCAUCGUUCGACUUGCAUGUGUUAAGCACGCCGCCAGCGUCGUCCGUCGUGCCGACGGAGUCAACUAC